CACGUAGGGGGCAAGCGUUGUCCGGAAUUAUUGGGCGUAAAGGGCAUGUAGGCGGCCUUGUAAGUCAGGUGUAAAAGGUAUGGGCUCAACUCAUACAAGCCAUCUGAUACUGUGAGGCUGGAGAGUAGUAGAAGGAAGUGGAACUUCCGGUGUAGCGGUGAAAUGCGUAGAUAUCGGAAGGAACACCAGUGGCGAAAGCGGCUUCCUAGACUAUUUCUGACGCUGAGGUGCGAAAGCUAGGGGAG
rnacentral:rRNA from 1 species